rnacentral:rRNA from 1 species
AUUGAACGCUGGCGGCAGGCCUAACACAUGCAAGUCGAGCGGAUGAAGGGAGCUUGCUCCUGGAUUCAGCGGCGGGCGGGUGAGUAAUGCCUAGGAAUCUGCCUGGUAGUGGGGGAUAACGUCCGGAAACGGGCGCUAAUACCGCAUACGUCCUGAGGGAGAAAGUGGGGGAUCUUCGGACCUCACGCUAUCAGAUGAGCCUAGGUCGGAUUAGCUAGUUGGUGGGGUAAAGGCCUACCAAGGCGACGAUCCGUAACUGGUCUGAGAGGAUGAUCAGUCACACUGGAACUGAGACACGGUCCAGACUCCUACGGGAGGCAGCAGUGGGGAAUAUUGGACAAUGGGCGAAAGCCUGAUCCAGCCAUGCCGCGUGUGUGAAGAAGGUCUUCGGAUUGUAAAGCACUUUAAGUUGGGAGGAAGGGCAGUAAGUUAAUACCCUGCUGUUUUGACGUUACCAACAGAAUAAGCACCGGCUAACUUCGUG